rnacentral:rRNA from 1 species
UACGGAGGGUGCGAGCGUUAAUCGGAAUUACUGGGCGUAAAGCGCACGUAGGCGGUCAGGCAAGUCGGGUGUGAAAGCCCUGGGCUCAACCUGGGAAUUGCAUUCGAAACUAUCUGACUCGAGUAUGGGAGAGGAAGCGGAAUUUCCGGUGUAGCGGUGGAAAUGACGUAGAUAUCGGAGGAACACCAGUGGCGAAGGCGACUACC